CAUAGUUUUAUUGUUUUUGUUUGAUGCAUAUCGAAGGGUAACAGGGAGAGCUUGCUUCCGCUGACGACCGGCGAACGGGUGCGUAACGCGUAUAGAAUCUGCCUUGUACAGGAGGAUAGCCUUUAGAAAUGAAGAUUAAUACUCCAUAAUAUUGAGAAGUGGCAUCGCUUUUUAAUUAAACAUUUAUGGGUACAAGAUGACUAUGCGUCCUAUUAGCUAGAUGGUAAGGUAACGGCUUACCAUGGCAACGAUAGGUAGGGGGUCUGAGAGGAUUAUCCCCCACACUGGUACUGAGACACGGACCAGACUCCUACGGGAGGCAGCAGUGAGGAAUAUUGGUCAAUGGAGGCAACUCUGAACCAGCCAUGCCGCGUGCAGGAUGACUGCCCUAUGGGUUGUAAACUGCUUUUAUACAGGAAGAAACAGUCGUACGUGUACGGCCUUGACGGUACUGUAAGAAUAAGCACCGGCUAACUCCGUGCCAGCAGCCGCGGUAAUACGGAGGGUGCAAGCGUUAUCCGGAAUCAUUGGGUUUAAAGGGUCCGCAGGCGGUCAAUUAAGUCAGAGGUGAAAUCCCAUAGCUUAACUAUGGAACUGCCUUUGAUACUGGUUGACUUGAGUUAUACGGAAGUAGAUAGAAUGUGUAGUGUAGCGGUGAAAUG
rnacentral:rRNA from 1 species